GCUGUGGCUCAGUGGAAAAGUCUCUGCUUUGCAAGCUGAAUGUCCUAGGUUCAAUCCCCGGCAUCUCCA
rnacentral:tRNA from 1 species